GACGAAGGGUGCAAGCGUUAUCCGGAUUCAUUGGGUUUAAAGGGCGCGUAGGCGGCCUUGUAAGUCAGUGGUGAAAUCUUCCCGCUUAACGGGAAAACUGCCAUUGAUACUGCUUGGCUUGAGUACAGAUGCUGUGGGCGGAAUAUGACAUGUAGUGGUGAAAUACAUAGAGAUGUCAUAGAACACCGAUUGCGAAGGCAGCUCACAAAACUGUAACUGACGCUGAGGCUCGAAAGUGUGGGGAUCAAACAGG
rnacentral:rRNA from 1 species